CCGGGCUGUGGAGCGAUCGAGGUUGAGCACCGGAGGAGCAGACUAUGGAGUCGCGGACGAGGGAGCAUCUAGCGGCGGGUCGGCGUGAAGGUGCGUUUGGCAGUACCAGUGAUAGGGAUUGGAUCGAUUUCUCUCGAUUCAUGCGCUCGGUGAAGCCACCUCCUCUCAUAUUGUACUGCGCUAGCUACAUGCCAUCUUCUUUGUUGUACGUUUUUCUUCCUUCUCUUAAAAUCACACUUGACAGGUUGGAGCUCGGCCGCCAUGGCGAUUUGGAGGCUGAGUGCUAGACACGGAGUACUCUGUUCCGCCAUCGGCUCAUCUGACCAUCCCUGUGAUAGAUCCACGCGCCACGGCCUCUGAUGGCACCGCCGCCACCGUGUAAUCGUGUCUCCCUCGUAUGCCUUCAGAUUGCGAGCUUCCUCAUGUAGUAAUCGAACGAAAAGCGAAGAAACUGAUCUCCCCGUGCUCUUCAACAGCCAGAUCCAAGCCACAGGACGAAACCUUUUGAUCUGUACGUAUCUCUUCCUUCCUAAUAUAUGUUCCUUUAUUUAAUCCCUCCCACUUCCAUAUCAUGUCAUCUUGGCUAUAGGAGAUCACGUGGUUUGCUUCUUCUUGGAUGUUGCUUCCUUGUGCCAGUUCUGCUUGCCUAGCACAAAAAGCUUUUUACGUGUCUGGCUGUUUGCUUGAGAUACAUCGUGUUUCAGAGGUUGAGUUAUUGGUUCGUUCUUGUAGGCGUGUGGAAAUUAUGAUGGAUGUUGCCGUUGAUGGAAAAUAGGUUCCGACCGGUAAGCAACCGUAUAUGACCUCAACACUUGGUUCCUGCUGUAUUUAUUAUCUCAUUUUUAUCUCCCUACUUGCUUUAGUUCCUUAAUAUUCUUCCUUCUAUAUGUAGCAAUUGCACGAUCCGCACUGCUUAUUUGAAUUGCAACCAUGGAUGUGUUCUUGCAAAUAUGACAAUGUGUAUUCAGAUUUCUGGGCAACAAGCCAGUUGGUUCUUUACUUAUUUUUUUCAGUUACCUUUUGCAUUGGCAGAUGUUUAAUGAUGUGAAGAUCUUAGCAAUAUAUCUUUAGGGGAUAAUGAAGUAUUCAUUGUUAUUCUUAAUUGUGUUUUGUAUCAGGCAUUGGCGACGAUGAACAAAAGACGCAUUGCUCCCUUUCUCAUCUUCAGGGGAUAAUGAAGUAUUCAUUGUUAUUCUUAUUUGUCUUUUGUAUCAGGCACUUGCGAAGUGGCGAUGAAGAUCGAAAGACGCGUUGCUCCCGUUCUCAUCUGAAAACAUACUUUUUUACAACAGAAUUUGUUUGUUAUAUAUUUUUAUUUCACCUUUUACGUGCAUCUACCCUGAUUGAAACCUGCACAUGUCUUUUGCUGAAUUCCACGGUUUCUUCAAACUACCAUAUGUCAUGGUCUUCCACCGUUUUGAAUUAGAAAAGCUCAGAAGAAAUACAUAGAUUUCUGAUGUCCCGGAGAGCCUUCGACCACUUAUGCUAACUGAAUGUACUGGUCCAAUCUGAGUUGACUUUUUUUACUCUAGAUCUCAAAAAAAGAAACUCAAAAGAAAUACAUAGAUGCAAUUGCAAUAAUGAAGAACAUAAAAGAACAAGUGUUUUUUUCUCUCAGAAAAUUAAGAACCAUAUUUUUUUUACUUCCAAAUGCGAGUCUACGCCUGAAAACACCGUUGAUACAUUGUUGAGUAUGAAAGAAACUGGGACAUUAUACAAG
rnacentral:lncRNA from 1 species